CUUGCCUGGAAUUCUGCAGCCAAGUCUCCUGCUUUCUACUCACUUUUUGGACUCUUGGAGAUCUGACAUGCUACUGGUGACAUCAUGAAGCACAAGUGGAGAAGAAGGAAGUGUCAGGAAUGCCACACACAGAGGAGAAAAGAAGAUGGAGGAAAAGGAAAGGAACUCUGGGCACAGUAACCAACCUCAAAUCAGGCCUCAGGUCAUGUAAUUAGACUGUAGGGGAAUCUCGAGCCUCUUAAUACCUUGAGCAGCGUGACCGCCCUGUAAGCUGGGUCCCGGUCUGUGCUAUUGUGUCGUUUUGACAUUCUGCUCCGAUAUCUGGCUAUUGAGGGUGACUGCCCUGUAAUCAGGGUGUAAGUCACUUCCCUCUGUCUUUGGAGGGGCAUUGAGCUUUUUGUUAAACUGAGCAAUGUGACCGCCCUGUAUCUGGGGUCCGGGUCUCUGCCCUCUUGCUCAUUUGGCUUUACGCCGUGCUCUGCCCCAUUAGUCAGCGUGACAACCCUGUAAUUAGGGUCUAUGUCACAAGCCUCUCUAGGAUGGGACAUAUUGAGCUCUUUGGUACUUUGACAGCUUGACCUUCCUGUAAUUCAGGUUAUGGUCUCCCCUAUUUGGCUAAUGCCAGCGACCACCCUGUAAUCAGGGUACAGGUUGCACCUCGCUUUUGAAAUCUGGGGGAUUAGAAUCAUGACCAUAACAUGGGCAGCUUGACCUCCCUGUAACUAGGGUGUGCGUCUCCGAGGCCCUCUGGGUCUCUUGGCCUCGUGCUGUCUUCACAGCCUGCUGCCAACGACCGCCCUGUAAUCAGGGAUCUGGUCUUUGCCCUCUAGUCUCUUGGCACUUGGCCAAAUGCAGCCACUGCCCUGAAUGAGCACCCUGUAAACAGGGUACAGGUCUCAUCUGCUACUAUUUAUGGCACCCCCAUGACACUGUGUCCAGAGUUCCGGCCCUUCAAACAGCGCUUCCAACUUGCCUGGAAUUCUGCAACCAAGUCUCCUGCUUUCUACUCACUUUUUGGACUCUCGGAGAUCUGACAUGCUACUGGUGACAUCAUGAAGCACAAGUGGAGAAGAAGGAAGUGUCAGGAAUGCCACACACAGAGGAGAAAAGAAGAUGGAGGAAAAGGAAAGGAACUCUGGGCACAGUAACCAACCUCAAAUCAGGCCUCAGGUCAUGUAAUUAGACUGUAGGGGAAUCUCGAGCCUCUUAAUACCUUGAGCAGCGUGACCGCCCUGUAAGCUGGGUCCCGGUCUGUGCUAUUGUGUCGUUUUGACAUUCUGCUCCGAUAUCUGGCUAUUGAGGGUGACUGCCCUGUAAUCAGGGUGUAAGUCACUUCCCUCUGUCUUUGGAGGGGCAUUGAGCUCUUUGUUAAACUGAGCAAUGUGACCACCCUGUAUCUGGGGUCCGGGUCUCUGCCCUCUUGCUCAUUUGGCUUUACGCCGUGCUCUGCCCCAUUAGUCAGCGUGACAACCCUGUAAUUAGGGUCUAUGUCACAAGCCUCUCUAGGAUGGGACAUAUUGAGCUCUUUGGUACUUUGACAGCUUGACCUUCCUGUAAUUCAGGUUAUGGUCUCCCCUAUUUGGCUAAUGCCAGCGACCACCCUGUAAUCAGGGUACAGGUUGCACCUCGCUUUUGAAAUCUGGGGGAUUAGAAUCAUGACCAUAACAUGGGCAGCUUGACCUCCCUGUAACUAGGGUUUGCGUCUCCGUUAUAGAGUUGGUGAAUGUGACUGCCCUGUAAUCAGGGUGCAAGUCAACUCCCCGUGUCUUUGGAGGGGCAUUGAGCUCUUUGUUAAACUGAGCAAUGUGACCGCCCUGUAACUGGGGUCUGGGUCUCUGCCCUCUUGCUCAUUUGGCUUUACGCCGUGCUCUGCCCCAUUAGUCAGCGUGACAACCCUGUAAUUAGGGUCCAUGUCACAAGCCUCUCUAGGAUGGGACAUAUCGAGCUCUUUGGUACUUUGACAGCUUGACCUUCCUGUAAUUCAGGUUAUGGUCUCCCCUAUUUGGCUAAUGCCAGCGACCACCCUGUAAUCAGGGUACAGGUUGCACCUCGCUUUUGAAAUCUGGGGGAUUAGAAUCAUGACCAUAACAUGGGCAGCUUGACCUCCCUGUAACUAGGGUUUGCGUCUCCGAGGCCCUUUGGGUCUCCGUUAUAGAGUUGGUGAAUGUGACUGCCCUGUAAUCAGGGUGCAAGUCACCUCCCCGUGUCUUUGGAGGGGCAUUGAGCUCUUUGUUAAACUGAGCAAUGUGACCGCCCUGUAACUGGGGUCUGGAUCUCUGCCCUCUUGCUCAUUUGGCUUUACGCCGUGCUCUGCCCCAUUAGUCAGCGUGACAACCCUGUAAUUAGGGUCCAUGUCACAAGCCUCUCUAGGAUGGGACAUAUCGAGCUCUUUGGUACUUUGACAGCUUGACCUUCCUGUAAUUCAGGUUAUGGUCUCUCCUCUUUGGCUAAUGCCAGCGACCACCCUGUAGUCAGGGUACAGGUUGCAUCUCGCUUUUGAAAUCUGGGGGAUUAGAAUCAUGACCAUAACAUGGGCAGCUUGACCUCCCUGUAACUAGGGUGUGCGUCUCCGAGGCCCUCUGGGUCUCUUGGCCUCGUGCUGUCUUCACAGCCUGCUGCCAACAACCGCCCUGUAAUCAGGGAUCUGGUCUUUGCCCUCUAGUCUCUUGGCACUUGGCCAAAUGCAGCCACUGCUCUGAAUGAGCACCCUGUAAACAGCGUACAGGUCUCAUCUGCUACUAUUUCUGGCGCCCCCAUGAGACUGUGUCAAGGGUUCCGGCCCUUCCAACAGCGCUUCCAACUUGCCUGGAAUUCUGCAGCCAAGUCUCCUGCUUUCUACUCACUUCUUGGACUCUUGGAGACCUGACAUGCUAUUGGUGGUAAGAUCCGAAAGGGAGUGUCCGGGGCGGUUUUGGACCGUUGUCGAAAGCGGUUCUCAUUUACACACUCCUUGUGCUCCCUCUCUCUGAUUCAGGCAUCAUGAAGCAGAAGUGGAGAAGAAGGAAGUGUCAGUACCAUGGUAUAACUGUGAAUCUGAAAUGCAUGGACCUUAAACACUCAAGUUGUAUAGAAUUAUAACUUCCUAUUAUUAAGAAAUCAUCAUUUCCUACUGGAAGUGCAAAGAUGUCACUUAAGGGAAGGUAUACAUUUGAAUCCUCCCCUCCCCUCCAAUUCUCCCCCCAAAACUCUUCAAAUAAAGUUAAGGUUCAGAAAAUUAACAUUUACUCCAGGUAACGCCUAACUUGUGUAUUUCUCACACAUUUCUCAAAGGAAGCAAACAAAACUAAAUGUUUUGGCAACUGGCAGUUACUCUCCGCACUUCACAACUUUCAAACACCUGCUCUACUUAAACGGUCACACCAACCAAAGUGUACCACACAUUCAAAAUUAACUUUGCAUCUAUUGUGUCAGAAGUGAGAGUGUUUUUAGUAGUUGUGUCCAUUGGUGGAAGUGGCAGUUGUGGUGUUUUAGUAGUCCUUUACGCUUAUUGAAUUCAAAGGAUGAUGAUGUGGAUGUUUUAGGUAGGUAUUUUUCUGUUAAGUCUUGGUAUUUGGGUGGAGGUGCAGUAUUUUGUGAUUAUGACUGUUUUUCUGGUAUUGGUUUAGUGUGAAUUGUUGGCAAUUCUAGAUGUUUUUGUAUCCGUACAUUAGUAGAUGUAUUUAGAGGGCAAAGCUGAGGUUGCCUGUUUGGUGCAAUUUAAUUGGUGUGAAAGUUAAUUUCGGGUAGGUGUUUGAAAGCACUGAGGUUUGAAUUUUUAGCUCAACAAGGAUGCAGGACCCACCUGGCUACCUCAGUUCUUACUGUCAUUCCUAAUUCCAAAAUCUUGGAUGAAGAUGACCAGGCAGAAUAAAGAUAUCUCCAGAGACUUUCAAGAGGGUAGCAUUUCUGCAGCUUUAGGGGAUUCCUUAAACCUUAUUGAGCUUUUCAAAGUGUAAUAAUUGUGGGAAACUUCUACUUCUGCCAAUUCCGUGUUGAACAAUGACCUGUAUUAAAGGACUUACACUGGGUAGUUAAUUCUGUUCUGUAUUAAGAUGAUUUUGCUAAAAUCGCCGCUUUCUGAUGUGUGAAAUGAAUUAUCUAGCUCUGAUUAUACCUAUUUGAUAAAAGUGUGAUAACGACCCCAUGUUAAAUGCAUGGAUUGAACUUUGAUUGUCAUAUCACAUUGCUUUGCUUUCUGUAACUCCU